AACUUUCACUGUUACACUGUUCAUAUUUCAUUUUCUGAGUGAUCCAUUUCUUCUGUUUGAGCUCCUGAAGCUGUAAAUUCAAGUUUGACGCUGUUCGCAUGAGUUUCACGACCUUCAUUUCCAUCAACUGAUCGAGUGACAUGACUGAACGGAGGAAGGAGAAGAAGGAAAAGGGCUGAGUGGUGGUCAGCCUCCUGGGAAUGGUUCUCCUCCUGGGCUGCUAAGGAGUUGGCGCUUCAGAACAUGAGGAGGACCGCAGUAGAACCCUCCACGACCGGAACCGGACUUCACGAACGCUGAGACAGAAAAAGGAACCCAAGAAAUCAUUCUUCAGGAGAGCCUGUGGAUACUGAACUCACUUCCUCUCCUCGCAGACAGCCGUCCACUAAUGACCACAAGGGGGCGCCCAUAAGCUCCGUUAAAAAGGAACAAUGCAGAAAAUUGACUUUCGCAGAUGACCUGCACCUGAUUCCCAGGCCUUCCAUCCACAACUACCAUCACGGCAGGGCCAGGUUGCUGGAACCAUCUAGAAGCCUUGAAGAGAAGCUGGUCUGGACAGAACAGAGCUGAAACAAAGCACUUCUGACCCUGCACGAACCAAGUCCUGGACCGUGCCACCUCAGACACCUGCAAGCCAUAACCAUCAGGCUUCCUACAAAGACAGAAGCCUCUGGCAGCGAGAAGCUGACCAAAGAGAGUGAGGACGCCAACGCUGGCAGGAGGACAACCACCGACCAUCUCCCACCUCCAUCAAACGGGCAUCUUCUGAUCUUCAGCCUCUGUGUUUUACUCAAUUUCUCAGUUUAAGUUUAUCUUCUGUUCUACAUCCUUUCUGAACUGAUGCUUUGUUAAGACGCACCUGUGCAGGAAAAGAGUUCUACACCACAGGCUGGCAAAAUCCUCUUCAACUGCCCCCUGGCUGACAGGUGUCCUGCACAACAACCAGAGAAAGCCAUGUUCCCAACUUGACUCAGAUGUUUGCUCCUACCAGUCUCUCCUUUCUAGGUUCUCACUUCAAGCAACUGCUGCAAAGUUAUCUUUCUACAGAGGAAAACUGGAAACGUCAGCAUCUGAUCCACAGGACCUCUUCAGCAUUUUCUUCUCUCUCCUCAACCCUCUUUCUCCCUCGCCACCCUCUUCUUUCACCUAUGAAGAUUUUGAUACCUCCUUUGAGAACAGCUCCUUGUCAUCAAGCCAUGUUCUGUUGGUAUUUAAGACUGCUAGGUUCUGAUCCUGAGGAAACCCUUUGCUUGACAGCUCUGAUAUCAGCAGCUACCAACCAGUAUCACUGUUUUCUUUCCUCUUAAAAAUUCUUAAAUGUGCAGAGACUGCCCUCAUAGCAGCAACCCAGAAGCUCCAGGCAGCACGAUUACCCAAGAUGUUAUCAGUCACGGUCAACCAAUAGAUCCUCCAGUCUGUCCUCAUCAACUUUGGAAUCACUAGCUCUACAUGGAAGUGGUUUGUCUCCUAUGGAGGGGCGCUCUUGUCAGGUAACAUGGAGUGGGUCCUCAUCUGUGCAGGCUCUCCACUAAUGUCCCACAAGGAUCGGUGAUGGGUCCUCUUCUCUUUUCACUCUACACUCAUUUUCAGGUGAUGAAAUAUCCUUUCCCAGCUUGAUGGAGAACUUUGUGCUUUGUUCCUCCUUGAAGUUCCUAUUUGAAGUACCAUUGCUGUGCUAAUGCUUUCCUUUCCACCUUCUGACACUGUUUUUCAGUUACAUCUCAGCAUGUCUGAUCGAUAUCUCUUCAUGGGUGGCCGCCCACCACCUGAAGCUCAAUCCUAGAAAGACUGAGCCGCUAUUCUUCCUUACAGGUCCGCAUCAUGAUCUUAUCAUCUCAGCUGAGAACUCCUUGGCUGUUCCAUGUGAAGAUGCAAGAAGACUUCAUGUGAUUCCGAAUGACUAGUUAUCAUUCUCAGUUCAUCUUAUGAACCUAACUCAAUCAUUUUAGUUUUCUCCUCAACUGGAGGAUUCAACCCUUUCCCUCCCAGGAGGCCACUCAGGUGCUCAGGUGUCAUCUCAAGUCUUUACCACUGCAACUUUUCCACGGCUGGUCUUUCUUUGCCAUCAGGCCCUUGCAACUAACACGGAUAACAGAAAUGGACCAGCCUCUCCCUACGUUAUUGCAAUGGUCAAAACUCGAUCUAUACCUCAAGCUCUUCGAGUUCCAAGUACAGCUCGGCUUCACCCACCAUCCUUCAAGAUGCAUGAAAGACGAAACCAAAAAGUCAGGUGGUGGACUUCUACCAGCUGUCCUAACAACAGACUCUCUUGUGUUCUUCAAAUGCAAACUGAAGCACUUAAGCGAGCACUAAUUUAAGUACUUCUUGAUAAGUAUGUAUUGUAUGGCACUUAAGCUAUGUUUAUGUAUUUGUAUUUGUAUUUCUGUAUGUAUUUUUCCUUUAGCACUGGCCUUGAGCUCAGACAACUAGGAUACUUUCUCUGAGUGAACAGCAAAGCUGUUGUAAGUUGCUCUGGAUAACACAUGAAUUCAGUCAUUUCAGCCAUUAUGUGUACAUAAGGAUACAUUCAGAACAUAAAAUCCUAUCUAUGUUAUACUAUUUUAUUUAAUGCACUAUAGUUGUAUAUUAGAUUUUAUUGAUCCACCAAACACAAGCCUAAAUGACUAACAGCAUGAUUUCAAUUAAAUUUUGUGCAUGCAGAUUAAAUUUCAAUGAUUGUUUAUAAAUUCAUCAUCAAUGCAACCAAUUUGACAUACACCACUGACAUCGCUCACAGAUGAAUCUUAGCUGAAGCUACAAAGAAAAUCCAUCCACAAGCACAUUUAAGUAAGUCCCGUUAAGUAAGUCAUCAAUUUUUCCUGAAUGAGAACGUUCUCAAUUAAACACUCACUUGUUAAACUUACAAAACUUUUAGUGCUGGAUUGCACUAAAAGUCUGCACACAUUAAUAGCACUUACAGCUUUCACACUAAUAGCACUUUCACACUAAUAGCACUUUCACACUCAUAACACUUACAGUUGACUGGGGCAGAUCUAGCAGGGCAGAAAUUUCCUGAACUAAAUUGUUGAAAAUGUGGCAGCCUAUGACAGUGCCAUGUUUAAAAGUCACUGAGGUCUUCAAUACAAUCUGUUCUACUACCAGUGUUUGUCUGUGGCGGUUGCAUGGCUAUGUGCUUGGUUUUGUACACCUGUCAGCAAUGGGCUUGGCUGAAACCCAACUCAAUCAUUAGGACAGUGUCCACAUACUUUUGGCCAUAUGAUGUAUAAAAUAUGUAUUUUUAAUAAAGUGGAAAAUAAAUGUA